AAGGAUCAUUAAAGAUUCGACCUUUGGGUCUAUCUCUCUUCAGCUGUGCGCUUCGGCUGCACGCUGUUGAACUUUCCACACCUGUGCACCAUUCGGUUGCGGCUUUGGCCGCUUCCGCAUUUACACAUACAACCACAGUCCAGAAUGUUAAACACUAUAACAAAUAACAACUUUCAACAACGGAUCUCUUGGCUCUCGCAUCGAUGAAGAACGCAGCGAAAUGCGAUAAGUAAUGUGAAUUGCAGAAUUCAGUGAAUCAUCGAAUCUUUGAACGCAUCUUGCGCUCCUUGGUAUUCCAUGGAGCAUGCCUGUUUGAGUGUCACGUAAACCCUCACCCUUGUGAUGUAAAAAUCGCUCGUGGUGGAUUUGGAUUGUGCCGUAAUUGGCUCGUCCUGAAAUGCAUUAGCUUGCGCUUUUUAGAGUGCUCGGCAUGGUGUGAUAAUUAUCUGCGCCGUCGCCUUAGGCCUCUUCUAUAUGUGCUGCUUCCAAUCGUCCCUCCGGGACAUUACAACUUAUGCUUUGGCCUCAAAUCAGGUAGGACUACCCGCUGAACUUAA
rnacentral:misc_RNA from 1 species